CAAGUAAUGAAAGAAUUAACUGGAGUGGAGAGCUCAAUUAAGGCACCUGGUUGCACCUGAAGGGUGGGCCAGGCCCAAUUAAAGAUGAAUCCCAGCUGGGGUGGGGCUGGGUUGUUAGUAUGAAGAGAGGAAGCCCAGCCUAGAGGAUGGUUGUGGCGAGAAAGAGUUUGGUGAUGCCUCUCUUAGUAGUAGUAAGGGGAGAGACUGGCAGCGUCAAGGAAAAAGCUCCCUGGGAUCCUCUCCUGAAUAGAGGAGGCUAGUAAGAGUCUAGGAGAGACAUGGAGCAAGUACUGAGGUGGAGUAAGCUGAUUAAAAAGGCAGAAUUGGAACUUCCAGAAAGAGCGAGCAUCCUGGUAGAUGGUCAAUUGAGGAACAGAGCAGGGAAAACCUGAGAGAUUAAAUGAGAACCUGAGGAGGGCAGAAGUUUGUACUCCUAGUUUGGAAUUUUGUUGGGGGACUGAGGGAAAAGCCCUGGCCACUAAAAGAAGGGUGAAACUAGAGAAUUUGUGGAAAGAAGGCCUGGAAAAAGGCCAUGGAAGGAGGAUGUCCAGAGAGACAGCAGCAAGGAGUCUAAUGGAGCAGAGGUUAGCUGCUGGCUAUAGGGGCCCAGUGUAAAGGAGGGGUCUGGGUUCCCCUGUCCUUCACUGUGGAAGAUUGUGUGAAACCUCUAGGAAGGGGUUAUGGCUGAAUCCCUGAAUGAAGGCUGUAGGGACCAGAGUUGAGGGCCAAAGUAAGGACUAGACCUAUUAUUUGUAAGAUUUCUUGCUACCCUAGAAGGGGUGGGACUAAAUAUGACCUGACCAGGGGGCUAAGGUCACAAGAACAGGCAGCAGUUGGUGUUAGCAGGCUCUCCUUCAUGCCUGCCAUGCCUAGCUACAAGGGGUAUACCUGCACUGAGUGUGCUCUUUGCGGACCUUUUUGAGGAUUUCUGGGACAGCAAGAUUAAAUUUAUAAUAAGUCUCAAUCUUAAUUAUAAAGAGGCUGCCAGCUUUUCAUAAUAGGCAAGGUGCCAACACAACAGGAACAAUAAAAACAAAAGCUCUUAGAAGGUAAGAUUAAAUUCAUGUAUUCAAUUGAUUAUGAGACAAACUGAUAAUAAAAUGGAACUCCCCUAUAAAUUGUUCUUUAAUCUCAAAUUCCUACCAGCAGCUGCUGAAGCUGAUCAUCCAGAUUUCCAGAUUCUUGACUGUAUUGAUCCCGUUCAGUUUGAGCCUCUGCCAUCUCAGAAUGAGCCAGGAAUAACUCUACAGCCAAGCCUGAGAUCAGAUGCUCUCCAAUUUUCAACUUGUCUCUCACUGAAAACUCUGUGUUACUUAUACAGUAUAUGUGGAAGUCAACAUGGAUACGUAUGGACUAAAGAGCAGUCCAUUUUAGGGAUCCCAGAAAGGAAUGUGGAAUUGUGGUGGGGAGGUGACAUGAAAUAAAUUCUCUGAAAAGUGAAUGGAUGCAGUGAACUUCUGUAGUGGAACUGGCUGGAGUGAACUUCUCUCCAUUUGUCUAAGGGCUCCCAAGAGUGCGGAGUGGACAGGGCCAGAGGAUCCACCACUACAUGGAUUGUCCGGAGCUCUCUUGUGCAGGAGGUGGGAGUGGUGUGCCUGGGGGUCAUGCAGCACCCCGAAGCUGCCUUUGUGAAUUGGCUCCACAGCUGCUCCGAGGCAGGGAAAGGAUUCAGCUACUUGAGCCAGGCACUGCAUUGUGAAUUUGGCUCUCAGAGUGUUUUUACAUAACAAAUAGUCAUCUGGAAGCUUCCACCACUAACUGUCAGGAAAAGUAGUGUUCUCCCCACUCACCGGGAAAAUCCUCCCUUUGAAAUACGACACAUCUGAGUCUAAAUCUCGCAGGACU